GACGAACGCUGGCGGCGUGCCUAACACAUGCAAGUCGAACGGAAAGGCCCUGCUUUUGUGGGGUGCUCGAGUGGCGAACGGGUGAGUAACACGUGAGCAACCUGCCCUUGACUUUGGGAUAACUUCAGGAAACUGGGGCUAAUACCGGAUAGGAGCUCCUGCUGCAUGGUGGGGGUUGGAAAGUUUCGGCGGUUGGGGAUGGACUCGCGGCUUAUCAGCUUGUUGGUGGGGUAGUGGCUUACCAAGGCUUUGACGGGUAGCCGGCCUGAGAGGGUGACCGGCCACAUUGGGACUGAGAUACGGCCCAGACUCCUACGGGAGGCAGCAGUGGGGAAUAUUGCACAAUGGGCGGAAGCCUGAUGCAGCAACGCCGCGUGCGGGAUGACGGCCUUCGGGUUGUAAACCGCUUUCGCCUGUGACGAAGCGUGAGUGACGGUAAUGGGUAAAGAAGCACCGGCUAACUACGUG
rnacentral:rRNA from 1 species